rnacentral:lncRNA from 1 species
GGUUUGGAAGAUGAAUGAGGGCCUCAGGUAGCUUUGGCUGCAGAGCUCACCCUUAGAUGCCACCAGUAUGCCACCAGUAUGCCACCAAGCAGACCAGGACUGAAUUUCAGAGGAUCUAUCCUGUCCCCAGGACAUUGGCUGCUUGUCCAGUGUAAAAGUAGCCAUCUCACUGCUCCAGCUGACAGCUCUGUAUGGGAUGUUUGAGGAAGGAGGAGUCAGUCAAGAAGCCACAGGAAGAGGAUGAACUAAGGACACAGACUCGCAGACCUGUCUCCCUGUACAAGGCAUCCCUCGUCCACAGAGACUCACGAUGUUUAUGGCUGUUUACAAAAACUCUGAACCUCUCUGCCCAAUGCUUAGACCCAGCUUGGUCCCCAUGUUAACAGUUGGCAGCAUUGAUCAUCUAUUAGGGCUUAUUUCAAAACCUUUGUCCCUCAGUUCCAGGAGGCCGCAUUUGCCAAUGGAAAGCUCUAGGAAACACCAGUGCUGAGAGGCGGCCAACCAGACUGCUCAGUCCACAUGCGUGUCAGCGCUCGGGCUGCUUGCUGGAAACUGCUCGGAAUGUCUUCAUGGCAG